ensembl:lncRNA
GCCAACCAAGAGGGCUGUGGGGCUUUGGGCAGCUGGACGGGGCCCAUGCCUUUUGGGGUGAGCCCUCUGGGGGCUGUCUGGGAAAGGGUGGGGAUGGUUUCCACCACCUCCCUCCCAAAGAACUGGACCACUGGGAAGUGUCAGCAUUUGUCCACCAGGCCAAGGUCCACAGGGAGACACCAACUGUGGGGUCAUGUUCUAGGACAAACACAUUCUUCACCAGCUGGCAGAGAUUCUUCCUACGAACUGCCAUCUUGCCUUUCUUGGCUUCGCCAGCAUGAAGACCGUAGCUGAAGGCAGGCAAUGGAGGGCGAGACCACUAGGUGGACAAAGGCAGCAACGGACGAAAUCAGUUGGCCAGGAAAUGAGGCCACUGAACUGCUGAGAUACCAGUCCCCUCAAAAGAACAGGACAAAGCCCGGCAGAGCGGGGCUCUUCACCGAGCAGCCAGGCCCACCCCAAGCGGCCAGGCCCCAGCGUGGGGCAGGCGUGGACUUGAAGGUUCGCUCCCGUCCAAGAGUAACCAAAGGACGAGUCUACAUCCAGCCCGAGUUCUUCCUUCCCUCAGCCAGCUGUGUCUCUCUUGGAAAAAGCUAACAAGUUUUCACGAGGCCUCGACAGUGGCUACUGGUCUCAGUGGACAGUGAGCAAGGCCGGUGGUCUACGUGCCUGUGGGAUGUGAAGACAGGAGCCGUGAGCACGUGCAGAAGAUGUGGCCGGGCCGGGCAGGUGUCCAUUCGCCUCCAGCACUGUCCAGACCCCGAGUGUGUUUCCUGAGGCUGGUCCUGGGAGAGGUGACAUUUCCAGCCUCGGUGCUGUCGUCUCCUUUCUUCCCUAUCGUAUCAUCUCAGUCUGUACUGAUUCACUCCCAAGUCAUUAGAGCUCACCCAAAGCCGAGGGGAAAGCAGGAUGGAAGCAGGACUCUGUCCCCCGUGCCUGGCCCUACCUUGCCAGGAUGAGGAAGCAGUGGCCCAAGCAGAAACUCCGAGAGAGCAGCUCCAGUCUCUCCUCCAUGUGCCCAGCCCUCGUUGUGGUUACUGGAGUAGGAAUAGAAAGGAGCAGGGAAGAAAGGAACAUGGGGCAGGUUAAGAAGGUAAAAAAGCUUCCUUGCACGACUCUGACCUCGUAAGGAUAGAAGUCUGGUAUCAAUGAAUCGCAUCCUGGCCUCUCCGUUGUACAGAAAGGCUGAAAUUGCCGGAGUACCAGGCACGCUCACACCUGUGUGUAAGGACAAAGCAAAUGCCAAGAAAAUGGUAAAAGCUCUUCUUUGGUAUUCACGAUUUUUGAUUCACGGAUGCAAAGUCCAUAGGGCAGUGUCUGCCACACAGAAAGUCCUGUACAAGUGUUUAUCAAAAAAAUGAAAUCACCCUCAUGGAAGGCAAAGCACAGAGGGUUUUGCUGUGUAUCCUUUUUUUAGUCUCUCUGACUAAUUAAAGUAUUUGUUGAUUUCCAGCCUACGGUUUCAAUCAACUGAGGGGAUUUUCAAAGACUUUGGUAUGUCAUUGGCAAAACACCCUUCAAAUGAGGGAAGAACAUUCCCAGACCUGCAGGGACCUGUUGGCGGGAGGCUGAGAGCUCCGUGGUACGCCUCUCGCCCCACAAGUGCCAAUCGCCCGCCGAAUCUGAGGGCUGGGGGCCAGGC